rnacentral:rRNA from 1 species
UCCGCUGACGACCGGCGCACGGGUGCGUAACGCGUAUGCAACCUACCUUUUACAGGGGUAUAGUCAAGAGAAAUUUUGAAUAACACCCCAUACGAUCAUUUUUACACCUGUAAAGAUGAAGAAAACUCCGGUGGUAAAAGAUGGGCAUGCGUCCUAUUAGUUAGUUGGUGAGGUAACGGCUCACCAAGACCGCGAUAGGUAGGGGUCCUGAGAGGGAGAUCCCCCACACUGGUACUGAGACACGGACCAGACUCCUACGGGAGGCAGCAGUGAGGAAUAUUGGACAAUGGAGGCAACUCUGAUCCAGCCAUGCCGCGUGCAGGAAGACUGCCCUAUGGGUUGUAAACUGCUUUUAUACAGGAAGAAACCUUGGUACGUGUACCAAGCUGACGGUACUGUAAGAAUAAGGAUCGGCUAACUCCGUGCCAGCAGCCGCGGUAAUACGGAGGAUCCAAGCGUUAUCCGGAAUCAUUGGGUUUAAAGGGUCCGCAGGCGGUCUUUUAAGUCAGAGGUGAAAUCCUAUCGCUCAACGAUAGAACUGCCUUUGAUACUGAAAGACUUGAGUUAUUGUGAAGUGGUUAGAAUAUGUAGUGUAGCGGUGAAAUGCAUAGAUAUUACAUAGAAUACCGAUUGCGAAGGCAGAUCACUAACAAUACACUGACGCUGAGGGACGAAAGCGUGGGUAGCGAACAGGAUUAGAUACCCUGGUAGUCCACGCCGUAAACGAUGGAUACUAGCUGUUUGACCAACAUUGGUUGGUUGAGUGGCUAAGCGAAA